GUUUGAUCCUGGCUCAGAUUGAACGCUGGCGGCAUGCCUUACACAUGCAAGUCGAACGGCAGCACGGAGCUUGCUCUGGUGGCGAGUGGCGAACGGGUGAGUAAUAUAUCGGAACGUACCCUGGAGUGGGGGAUAACGUAGCGAAAGUUACGCUAAUACCGCAUACGAUCUAAGGAUGAAAGUGGGGGAUCGCAAGACCUCAUGCUCCUGGAGCGGCCGAUAUCUGAUUAGCUAGUUGGUAGGGUAAAAGCCUACCAAGGCAUCGAUCAGUAGCUGGUCUGAGAGGACGACCAGCCACACUGGAACUGAGACACGGUCCAGACUCCUACGGGAGGCAGCAGUGGGGAAUUUUGGACAAUGGGGGCAACCCUGAUCCAGCAAUGCCGCGUGAGUGAAGAAGGCCUUCGGGUUGUAAAGCUCUUUUGUCAGGGAAGAAACGGUGCGAGCUAAUAUCUCGUGCUAAUGACGGUACCUGAAGAAUAAGCACCGGCUAACUACGUGCCAGCAGCCGCGGUAAUACGUAGGGUGCAAGCGUUAAUCGGAAUUACUGGGCGUAAAGCGUGCGCAGGCGGUUUUGUAAGACUGUCGUGAAAUCCCCGGGCUCAACCUGGGAAUGGCGAUGGUGACUGCAAGGCUAGAGUUUGGCAGAGGGGGGUAGAAUUCCACGUGUAGCAGUGAAAUGCGUAGAUAUGUGGAGGAACACCGAUGGCGAAGGCAGCCCCCUGGGUCAAAACUGACGCUCAUGCACGAAAGCGUGGGGAGCAAACAGGAUUAGACACCCUGGUAGUCCACGCCCUAAACGAUGUCUACUAGUUGUCGGGUUUUAAUUAACUUGGUAACGCAGCUAACGCGUGAAGUAGACCGCCUGGGGAGUACGGUCGCAGAUUAAAACUCAA
rnacentral:rRNA from 1 species